CCUCAGAGGCUGGUCGAGGAAGAGAACACAUGACCAGGCAGAACCAAUCACAUGCUUUCCCUGGGAGUGAUAGGUUGGGGUGGGGUAGAGGGAACCCUCUGUCUUUGAAACCCUGUAAUAGCUAUUAAAUCAGCUCAUCCUCUCAUUCCAACCCAAUCACCGUCUUCAGCCGUCAGCUCCUGAAUGCUUUAAAACUUCACUAGAGAAAGUGCUGUCAUGAAGGGGGCAUGGAGGGCAAGGAAAAGCAGCCUGAAGGAAAUGAAUGGACCAUUGGGAUAAGGAAACAGACAGGAUGAAAAAUUACCUCUCAGACAGCACAGAGGGGAGACAGAUAAAUGGGAGACUUUUGGCAGCCAAGAAAGUAAAUGAAAGGAUAAGAAAGAUGACAUGGAAUGCUAAGAACAGUAUUACCUGAAACACUCACAGAGUCCUUUGAUUGGAGAUGAAAGGGCUCCUGAGAGGCUAAAGGAAGGAUGACUCACGGUAGCUGUCAACAGUAUCUGACCCGCUCUAAGUACAGAAUCUCUGCUAUGCUACUGGAUUUAAUUGAGCAUCCAAUAACAUUAUAUAUGUGGAAAUGCUUUAAAAAGUAACUUCGAAAUGUACUGAUAAUUUUAAUUAUAUUUUCGUAUUUCCUAC
rnacentral:lncRNA from 1 species